rnacentral:rRNA from 1 species
UACGGGGGGGGUAAGCGUUGUUCGGAAUUACUGGGCGUAAAGGGCUCGUAGGCGGCCAACUAAGUUCAGACGUGAAAUCCCUCAGCUUAACUCGGGGAACUGCGUCUGAUACUGGAUGGCUUGGAUUCGGGAGAGGAAUGCGGAAUUCCGGGUGGUAGCGGUGGAAUGCGUAGAGUAUCGGAAGAACACCGGUGAGCAGGAGGCGGAUGAGGCCUGG